CUGGGAGAUAGAGGACAGAGACAGGGGAGUUCCCAGAAGCUCCAGGACCAGCUACCCUGGUGUGGGCUGCUGUGGUCAAGAGACCCUGUCUCAAAUAAGGUGAAAGGUGAAGGCUGACACUCAACACAUACCAUACACCUGUGUGCCCACACCCUUGUAGGUACACACACACACACGCACGCACGCAUGCACGCACGCACGCACGCACGCACGCACGCACGCACGCACGCACGCACGCACGCACGCACGCACGCACACACACACACACACACACACGGUGGUUUGAAAGAAAAUGCCUCCCCCCACAAGGAAGUGGCACUACCAGGAGGAAGUUGGAGGAGGGCCUUUUGGAGGACGUGAGCCACUGUGGGGCGGGCUUUGAGGUCUCUUUUUCUCAAGCUUCCCUCGGUGUGACAGUCAUUCUCCUUCCUGUUGCCUGCAAGCUGUCGUGCUCUCAUCUCCAGCACCACAUCUUCUUGCACGCUGCCAUGCUCCCCCUGUCACAAUGAUAAUGGACUGAACCUCUGAGUGAACUUCUGAGAUGCUGAUGCAAAAGCCAAGAAGGGGAAUCCCUGGAGGCCAAGGUGACAGACCAGCAGCUGUGCCUGGAGACGUGACAAAGAUGUAACAGACAUGGAAUUGUUAACAUUUAUGGCCUAUCUUUGCCCUCACACAUUCAUGAAAAUUGUUUCAUUUCUCAAAAUUUCUCUGCACAGCCUCCUCCAUCUGUCAGCUCCAACACGGUCCUCUUCCCUGGCCUCCUCCUACAGGAGGGCCACCAGGAUCAAAGGCAGAGGGGGGAGUUUCACUGGCAGAGAAGAAACUAAUGGAGGCAGAGGUGUAGAAAUGAAGAUGAGAGGGUUGGGAUUUGUCUUAGGGUUUCUAUUGCUGUGAAGAGACACCAUGACCACAGCAACUCUUACAAGGAAAACAUCUAAGGGGUGGUUUACAGCUCAGAGGUUCAGUCCUUUAUCGUCAUGGCGGGACAUGGCGGCGUGCAGGCAGACAUGGGGCUGGAGAAGGAGCUGAGAGUUCUACAUCUUUAAUCCUCAGGCAACAGAAGUGUUCUAAAUACUGGGUGUGUCUUGAACAUAGGAGACCUCAAAGCCCACCCCCACAGUGACACACUUCCUCCAACAAGGUCACACCUACUCCAACAAGGCUGUACUUCCUAACAAAUGAGC
rnacentral:lncRNA from 1 species